CCUACGGGAGGCAGCAGUGAGGAAUAUUGGUCAAUGGCCGCGAGCCUGAACCAGCCAAGUCGCGUGAAGGAUGACGGAUCUAUGGUUUGUAAACUUCUUUUAUAAAGGAAUAAAGUUAUCCACGUGUGGAUAUUUGCAUGUACUUUAUGAAUAAGCAUCGGCUAACUCCGUGCCAGCAGCCGCGGUAAUACGGAGGAUGCGAGCGUUAUCCGGAUUUAUUGGGUUUAAAGGGAGCGUAGGUGGGUUGUUAAGUCAGCGGUGAAAGUUUGUGGCUCAACCAUAAAAUUGCAGUUGAUACUGGAAGACUUGAGUGUGGUUGAGGUAGGCGGAAUUCGUGGUGUAGCGGUGAAAUGCAUAGAUAUCACGAAGAACUCCGAUUGCGAAGGCAGCUUACUAAGCUACCACUGACAUUGAUGCACGAAAGUGUGGGGAUCAAACAGGAUUAGAUACCCGAGUAGUC
rnacentral:rRNA from 1 species